rnacentral:tRNA from 1 species
GGCUCCAUAGUGUAGUGCAUAGGUUAGCACGUCUGCUUUACAUGCAGAAGGUCCUGGGUUUGCACCCCAGGUGGAACCA